rnacentral:rRNA from 1 species
GACGAACGCUGGCGGCGUGGAUUAGGCAUGCAAGUCGAACGGUAUCAUCCUUUCGGGGGUGAGAGAGUGGCGAACUGGUGAGUAACACGUAGGUUAUCUACCCUCAAGACGGGGACAACCCAGGGAAACUUGGGCUAAUACCGGAUGUGAGCAACUUUUAGUUGUUUGAAAGGUGGCGUAAGCUGUCGCUUGGGGAUGAGCCUGCGUCCUAUUAGUUAGUUGGUGAGGUAACGGCUCACCUAGGCAAUGAUAGGUAGGCGGCCUUAACGGGUGGUCGCCCACACUGGGAUUGAGAUACGGCCCAGACUCCUACGGGAGGCAGCAGUCGAGAAUAGUCUACAAUGGUCGGAAGACUGAUAGUGCGACGCCGCGUGAACGAUGAAUCCCUUCGGGGUUAAAGUUCUUUUAUAUGUGAGCAGUGCUUCUUAUAUUAACAGUAUGGGGAAGAGAUAUUAGCAUAUGAAUAAGCAACGGCUAACUCCGUGCCAGCAGCCGGGU